rnacentral:lncRNA from 10 species
UAGCACACGGGUGAGUCAGAUUCUGGAGCCCCCUCCUCCCCGCCUCCUACACUGCCUCUGAAAGCUUGGAUGGCUCAUUCUCUCUGAGGCAUGGAGUACUUUUAAAUAAGAACAAAAAUGAACCAUUUUAUCAUUUUAAUUAAGGUUUACAAAUCAAAUUCAAUUUUAUAUACCAUGGCACAAUUCUGAGGUUGCUGUGUCAUCUAGUAACCAGCACUAUCAAAUGAUUACAGCUGCCCUUGCAGAAACAGCUCUUGGGAAGCAAGUCCUACAACCCUUGAUUUAAUUUCAAUUUCUAUUAUGCUGUUAUCAUAAUUUUAAAUGAAAAUACAAAAAUAGCAUCUGAUGAAAUUCACUCACAUAAAACUACUCUUGAUUAAAUGCCCAUGUGAAAAUUAUGGAUAGAACUGAAGGUAAAAUAUGCACAUAAUGUUUUUAAGAAGGACUCAAUAGGAAGUAUUACAUCAACCUACAUUGCUCUGAAUGAGGGUUAUUAAGCAUCAGAAAUAGUCCCCAUUUGAGGUGGGAGAGAAGAUGUAUUUCAUCUGACAUGAUGCCAUGGUUUAAAUACAGAUUUAACUAAACAAUGUAGCAUAUGUAUUUUUUCUUUUAGUUGUUAUAUUCUUCCAGGCAUCCUUAUUUGUCCUUAUGUGCUUGAGUAUACAAUUCAUGCAUGAAGAUAUGAAGGAAGAAUUGUCCAUGCUUGGAACUUCCUAUUUUGGGGAAGACAUUUAUUUCUUCUCUUCCUGUGGUAGGCAGAAUUCCAGGAUUGUCCCUGAGAUUCCUGCCUGUUGUGUGCACUCCCUGUAUCAUUCCUUCCCCUCCAGUGUGAGCAGGCCUCAUAUCCCCUAAUGGAUUAGAAGCUGCUGAAAGGCUGCGACUGUGUCUUAGUCAUCUUCGUGUCCCUCAAGAGUCCACCACUGUGCUGUACACAUAGUAGGGCCUCAGAAACCAUAGGCCAGAUACUGUUCUAAGUCUCAGGAACAGGGUUAUAACUCUCCUUGGCCUUCAGCUAUGAACAAAACAGCCAUGGUUCCUUCUAUCAGGGAAUUCUUGCUCAUAAUGAGGACCCUGGGGAGAGCGGGACACGCCCCUCAAGCAGGUAUCAGAGAG